CUCGGUGUUGCUUCCUAAGUGGACAGUUUAAUUUCACAGAAGUGUGAUUAAGUGUUCCCUUUAUUUUUCCCAUGAAUAAAUACACACACAUACAGCUCAAAAAAAAUAAAGUACAUCCUCUUUGAAUUAUAUGGUUUUGCAUAUCAGGACAUAAUAACAAUCAUCUGUUCCAUAGCAGGUCUUAAAAUUACAACCACACAUGGUCAACAUCACAUAUUACACUGUGUUAUGAUUUUUAACAAAAAUAAAGCCAAAAUGGAGAAGCCACGUGUGGGAAAAACUAAAAGUACACCCUUACUGCUUCCAUAGGAAUUGAGUCUAAAUAGCAAUCGGGUAAUGCAAAUUAAAUGUCAUUGAUUAAUUGAUCAUCAGCAAGUGUAACCAGCUCUGUAAAAGCUGAAGGUUUAGCAAGAUUAUUGAAAAGUGGAAAACUUUCAAGACCAUUGCCAAUCUUCCCAAAAGUGGACGUCCCAGCAAAGUCACCCCAGGGCCAGACCAUGCAAUGCUCAAAGAAAUUCCAAAAAAAACAAACCCAAGAGUUCCAUCUCUUACUCUGCAGGCCUCAGUUAGCAUGUUAAAUGUUAACGUUCAUGACAGUAUAAUUAGAAAAAGACUGAGCAAGUAUGGUUUUUCUGGAAGGAUUGCCAGGAGAAAGGCUUUUCUUUCUAAAAAUAACAUGGCAGCAUGGCUUAGGUUUGCAAAGUUACAUCUGGACAAACCACAAGACUUCUGAAGUGGAGAUGUUUGGCCAUAAUGGACAAAACCAAAUGCAUAUCAGCACAAACACAUCAUUCCAACUGUCAAGCACAGUGGGGCUUGAUUUUCAGCCACGUGACCUAGGAACCUUGCAGUCAUUGAGUCAACCAUGAACUCCUGUGUACAAAAGUAUAGUUUUUCUUAAAUUAUUACUUACUGUUACCAUUGACAUACCUAUCACCAGGGUUCCUGAAUGGUAUGUGCCUGUAACUGUGUCUGGGACUGGUAGUGGUGAUUGGGCCCUUUUUCUAGAGUAAUGUAGGCAGUUAGUACACUGAACACAUAGGGAAAGUGACUGAUAACAAAUGGUUUCUAAUAUUAUUUAUAACUAGUACUGAAUAAUGUACUAUUAUUGUUGUGUGCAAGGGAACUGCCAUCAUAACCUACCACAGAGUACUGUAGUGAUUAUGGUGUCACUGAG